UAAUUUUUUAUCCAAAAUUUAUAAAUGAUAUUAAAGAAAAUGAGAUUGUUUGCAACCUAUUGAAAUGAAACAGCUCAUUCGUAAACGAGUGCACUGAUCCCAUUACGAGGACGUUCCACCUAAUCCAAGCUCGGCCAGCCCAGUCCGUUAAUAGCGUCCUAAUCGAGUUCCACUGGUACGAGUUCCACUGCUACAUGUGUCCCCGUCCUGAUUUGAAGGAAAAGAGAAUAACGCUGCAAGCAAAGCCUCUAAAAGUCAUUACCUCAUUAGCGAAUCAACGGUCUUAAAAUGGAAAAAUAGAAGAAGAGCACACUGAAAUGCCAACGAAUUGGGAUAAUUUAAUCGGAAAGGUACUUUUUUAAAGCUUGCGCAAUCCCGGAUAAAAAUACAUUCUCAGCCUCAGCGCAGAAUCAUAAAAAUCCGUUCUUACCGUGUAAUGGGGUGCGUUUACGCAUGAGGAUUCAAGCUUCGGAUCUUGUUAGUCAGUACAGAAAAAUUUGUGCUAGAAGAAAUCUCGGUUGGAAUUUAUAGGUGUUUUCAGUGAAAAUUAUCAAAAGUGUUUUGAGGUUUUAAUUAUAAAGAUAAAUUUAUGAAUUAUUAGUUGAGUUUGCCGGGUUAUAAUUUGAUGGUAAACUAUUCUUAGAAUUCACUACUACUAUUACUCAGAAUUUACAGAAUCUUAGUGGUCGUAACUUGGACACGAAAUCUCGGUGUCCCUCUACUAUCUCUGAUAUUCACCGGCUGUCAUUUAACAAUUAAAAUUAAGUGGAAAACGCGAGUGGUGAUGCGAGGUGAAUGUACCAUACAGAUACAUAGAUGUCUGAAAUAACGAGCGCAAAGUCAUGAAUUUCAAAACAGCACAACUGUCACGUUGCAGACGAAAUUCUGUCUGGAAAAUUCAUUAAAUUUGUUUAACUUCCUAUCAAUGCUAUUCAAUUCAUCUCUAUCAAAAUAUCUAUUAAUUAUCUUGUUUAUUAAUUAAUUAAUUUAAUUAUUAAAUAUUUUUAAUAUUUCAGGCGAUUAUUCAAUUCAUUUUCUAACUAUCGAUUAUACUUUUCACUUAUUAAUUAGAAAUUAUAACGCAAGUUUGGAUUCUAAGCACGGGUGAUUAAUUUCCGAGCGAGCGAUUUUUGGAGUGGGAGGGAUAAUUGACCGCUGGGGGCCACUCCAUCGGUAAUUUUAAUCUCAAGAUUCUUGGAUGUCUCUGCCACCCUCUCAUGUAGGUAUUGACGGCAAAAGAUGCAAUAUUCCAAUAUAUGGCUCAAAGUGAAAACUAGAGAUUACUUUGGUAGUUACAGAAAACGAUAGAGCUUUCCUGGUUUUGUUCGUGGUAGGCUUGCUUAGAGCCUAAAGAUCAAAGCUUAUCAAAUUUUAAUCUCAAGAUUCUUGGAUGUCUCUGCCACCCUUUUAUGUAGGUAUUUACGGCAAAAGAUGCAAUAUUCCAAUAUGGCUCAUGAAUUUUUGAAAUGUUCCAUAAAUUUGUGGAGCGAACUUAAUAUUUGGCUGUGAAUAAGCGAUAAAUUGACCAGAUUUAUGGCGUAGUCAAAUUGUAAAAAAUUUCAGAUUGUAAAAAAUGUGUAAUUUAUAGCUUUUUUUAUGAAAUGUAAU